rnacentral:rRNA from 1 species
UAAGAUACUCAAAUGACGUAUCCCGAAAGCAUAAGAUCUAAGUGCACUAUAAGGUUAUAGCCUAAAGUUUAAUUACUGUUGCAUUAGUUUAUAAUAAAUAGUACCUUAGCGGUGAAAGGCCUCCAAUUAUGUUGAUAUCUGGAUAGUUACUAAAUAUAUUUAGUUUAUAAUAAAUUUAUGAAGUGAUAAGAUUUCAUAAUUAGAAUUUAAUAUUUAACUUAAAAUUACUUUUAAUUAAUAAUUAGCAGUACUCAUUCCUAGUAAAAUAAUUCUGUUUGUAAUAUUCUCUAUUAGUAACUCAUUUAACUUAAUUAACUUUAAAUUUGAUAAUGUGUAAAUAAGUAUAUUAAUAUAAAUUUACCUAAAUAAACUCGGCAAAUAUUAUGUACGACUGUUUAACAAAAACAUAGCCGGUAGUUAUUAUAUUAUCGGUGCGACCUGCCCGGUGAACUUUUAACGGCCGCAGUACUAUGACUGUGCAAAGGUAGCAUAAUCAUUUGACUUUUAAUUGAAGUCUAGUAUGAAAGGAAAAACGUAUAUAAACUGUAUCUAGUAUAAAUUUAUACAAAUUAUUUAUGAGGUGAAAAUACCUUAAAUAAGAAAAAUAGACGAGAAGACCCUUAGAAUUUUAAGAAACGUCAUUAAUGAUGAUAUGAUUUUUGUUGGGGCAACAUUUUUUCAUAAAAUAAAAACUAGCACACAUAACGAAAAAGUUUAAUAAGGAAAAAAUUACCUUAGGGAUAACAGCAUAAUUUUUAAUAAAGAUUGUGACCUCGAUGUUGGACUAGGAACUAUUAAGGCUAGUCGUUUUAAUAUAAUAUGUUCUGUUCGAACUUUACUUCCUA